rnacentral:rRNA from 1 species
ACUCCUGCGGGAGGCAGCAGUGGGGAAUAUUGGACAAUGGGCGCAAGCCUGAUCCAGCCAUGCCGCGUGAGUGAUGAAGGCCCUAGGGUUGUAAAGCUCUUUCACCGGUGAAGAUAAUGACGGUAACCGGAGAAGAAGCCCCGGCUAACUUCGUGCCAGCAGCCGCGGUAAUACGAAGGGGGCUAGCGUUGUUCGGAUUUACUGGGCGUAAAGCGCACGUAGGCGGACUAUUAAGUCAGGGGUGAAAUCCCGGGGCUCAACCCCGGAACUGCCUUUGAUACUGGUAGUCUUGAGUUCGAGAGAGGUGAGUGGAAUUCCGAGUGUAGGGGUGAAAUUCGUAGAUAUUCGGAGGAACACCAGUGGCGAAGGCGGCUCACUGGCUCGAUACUGACGCUGCGGUGCGAAAGCGUGGGGAGCAAACAGGAUUAGAAACCCCUGUAGUCCCA